rnacentral:rRNA from 1 species
UACGUAGGGUGCGAGCGUUGUCCGGAAUUACUGGGCGUAAAGAGCUCGUAGGUGGUUUGUCGCGUUGUUCGUGAAAACUCACAGCUUAACUGUGGGCGUGCGGGCGAUACGGGCAGACUGGAGUACUGCAGGGGAGACUGGAAUUCCUGGUGUAGCGGUGGAAUGCGCAGAUAUCAGGAGGAACACCGAUGGCGAAGGCAGGUCACUGGGCCGCAACUGACGCUGAGACGCGAAAGCGUGGGGAGCAAACAGG